UCUCUCUCUCACACCAAAACGCUGUACCACCUCUUAAAUUUUUCCAAAAAAAAUUGUAUUUUUUCCUUUUAAUUUACAGUCAUACUUGUUUAUAUCAGAGCGUUAAAUCGAAACUACUUCGGGAAAAAUAUUUAGCUUCUGGUAACCGUAGCCAAGGGUUGUGAUGUUGAAUUACGAAAUCUUGAUUCUUGACAGGUAGCAGUUGCAGAGUGGAAAAGCAUAGGUUCUGGUGAUUGAUUCAAAAGAGUACGUUUGGAGGACAAAUCCUUAUUUAGUCUAAAUGGCUAAUCCAUCUAAGAGGUGGAUUGAUGGUCUUCAGUUUUCAUCGCUGUUCUGGUCGCCGCCGCAAGACCCUCAAGAACGAAAGGUUCAAAUUACUGCAUACGUUGAGUAUUUUGGUCAAUUCACAUCAGAACAGUUCCCUGAGGAUAUUGCCGAGCUUAUUCGCAGCCGCUAUCCAUCUAAGGAGCAACGCCUUUUUGAUGAUGUUCUGGCUACUUUUGUCCUUCACCAUCCCGAACAUGGGCAUGCAGUUGUUCUUCCAAUUAUUUCAGGCAUCAUUGAUGGUACGCUGGUUUAUGAUAAGAGUACUGCUCCUUUUGCGUCAUUCAUCUCCUUAGUCUGCCCAAGUAGCGAGAAUGAGUAUUCUGAACAGUGGGCUCUUGCAUGCGGGGAGAUCUUGCGAAUUCUGACUCAUUACAACCGCCCAAUAUAUAAAAUGGAACCACAAAAUAGUGAACUGGAUAGAAGCCACAGCAGCAGCCAAGCUACGACAAGUGAAUCUGUAGAUGGGGAACCAUCCUGUCGUAUACCUUUGAAGCAACAGGAGAGGAAGCCUUUAAGGCCUUUGUCUCCUUGGAUUACUGAUAUAUUGCUUGCAGCGCCUUUGGGCAUCAGAAGCGAUUACUUCCGUUGGUGCAGUGGUGUUAUGGGAAAAUAUGCAGCUGGAGACCUCAAGCCACCUACAACUGCUUCUUCACGUGGAUCUGGAAAGCAUCCUCAGCUCAUGCCAUCAACUCCAAGAUGGGCCGUCGCAAAUGGUGCUGGUGUCAUUUUAAGCGUGUGUGAUGAAGAGGUUACACGCUACGAGACUGCUAGUUUAACUGCUGCAGCAGUCCCUGCCCUUCUACUUCCUCCCCCUACAACAGCUUUGGAUGAGCAUCUAGUUGCUGGGCUACCAGCCCUUGAACCAUAUGCACGUUUAUUUCAUCGGUACUAUGCCAUUGCAACUCCAAGUGCCACCCAAAGACUUCUUCUUGGGCUUUUAGAAGCACCUCCAUCAUGGGCUCCAGAUGCACUUGAUGCUGCUGUGCAGCUUGUGGAACUCCUUCGGGCUGCUGAAGAUUAUGCAACUGGUAUAAGGCUUCCUCGAAAUUGGAUGCAUUUGCAUUUUUUGCGGGCAAUUGGGACUGCAAUGUCUAUGAGAGCAGGCAUUGCUGCUGAUGCUGCCGCAGCUUUACUUUUCCGCGUACUUUCACAGCCUGCACUGCUCUUUCCUCCAAUCAGACAAGUUGAGGGAGUAGAAGUUCAACAUGAACCUUCUGGUGGUUAUAUCUCGUGUUAUAGAAAGCAGAUUGAGGUGCCUGCAGCUGAAGCAACAAUUGAAGCUACUGCUCAAGGGAUUGCGUCAAUGCUUUGUGCUCAUGGACCAGAGGUGGAAUGGAGAAUAUGCACCAUAUGGGAAGCUGCUUAUGGCCUGAUUCCCUUGAGCUCAUCGGCUGUUGAUCUUCCAGAAAUCAUUGUUUCAACCCCAUUACAACCUCCCAUACUAUCAUGGAACCUAUAUAUACCACUUCUCAAGGUCCUUGAAUACCUUCCACGUGGAAGUCCUUCUGAAGCAUGUCUCAUGAAGAUAUUUGUGGCGACUGUUGAAGCAAUUCUUCAGAGAACUUUUCCACCUGAAUCCUCCAGGGAGCAAUCCAGAAAAACAAGAUACAGCAUAGGCUCUGCCUCAAAGAAUCUUGCUGUGGCUGAGCUUCGUACAAUGGUGCAUUCCCUCUUUUUAGAAUCAUGUGCUUCUAUAGAGCUCGCUUCUCGCCUACUUUUUGUUGUCUUGACUGUGUGCGUUAGCCAUGAAGCUCAGUUCAAUGGGAGUAAGAGACGAAGAGGUGAAGAAAGUUAUCCUCCUGGUGAGGGCAUUAAGGAAUCACAGGCACAAGAUGAAAAGCUGAAAGAUAUUAAACCCAGAAAAGAAAAGAACCAAGGGCCUGUAGCUGCAUUUGAUUCUUAUGUGUUGGCUGCUGUUUGUGCUCUUGCCUGUGAGCUUCAGUUGUUCCCUUUGGUUACAAGAGGAAAUAAUCAUUCAACUUCUAUAGAUGUUCAAGCUACGGUCAACCCUGUAAAAGUAAAUGGAUCUUCUAUUCAAUGUGGACAUGGCAUUGACUCUGCUAUCCAUCAUACUCACAGAAUCCUGGCAAUUUUAGAGGCACUUUUUUCGCUGAAGCCAUCUUCUGUUGGCACCUCAUGGAGUUAUAGUUCAAAUGAAAUAGUUGCUGCAGCUAUGGUUGCUGCUCAUGUUUCUGAACUAUUUAGACGGUCAAAGGCUUGCAUGUAUGCACUCUCUGUCCUAAUGCGAUGCAAGUGGGACAAUGAAAUUUACACCAGGGCAUCAUCGUUAUAUAAUCUCAUUGAUAUUCACAGCAAGGCUGUUGCAUCCAUUGUUAACAAGGCUGAACCAUUAGAAGCACAACUGAUAUAUGCACCUGUUGGGAAAUAUUCCGCUUGUUUAGAUGGCAGAAAAGAAAACAAUUGUUCAAGUGCCACUUGCUUUGGUCCCGGGGAGUCUUCUUCAGAAUUUGAAGAUUCGACUCAUUCAGACAAUAAUAUCAGAUGUGAGGGAAUGAUAGCAUCAAAUGAAGGCUCGAGAAAUUCCUUGGGCAAAGGCAUAACAAGUUUCCCACUAGAUGCCUCAGAUUUGGCCAAUUUUCUCACAAGGGACAGACACAUAGGAUUCAAUUGCAGUGCACAAAUUCUUCUGAGAUCAGUGCUUGUGGAGAAACAAGAGUUAUGUUUCUCUGUGGUUUCACUACUGUGGCACAAGUUGAUAGCAGCCCCUGAAACACAGCUCAGUGCCGAAAGCACAUCUGCCCAGCAAGGAUGGAGACAGGUGGUUGAUGCAUUGUGCAAUGUUGUAUCAGCUUCACCGACAAAAGCAGCUACAGCCGUUGUACUUCAGGCGGAUAGGGAAUUGCAGCCUUGGAUUGCCAAAGAUGAUGGUCAAGGUCAGAAGAUGUGGCGAAUCAACCAGCGGAUUGUAAAGUUGAUCGUGGAGCUGAUGAGAAAUCAUGAUUGCCCAGAAUCAUUGGUAAUAGUGGCAAGUGCUUCUGAUCUACUACUUCGUGCCACAGACGGGAUGCUUGUUGACGGGGAAGCUUGUACUUUACCACAACUUGAGCUGUUGGAAGCAACGGCUAGAGCAGUUCAGCCGGUAUUUGAGUGGGGAGAAUCGGGACUGGCUGUAGCAGAUGGACUUUCAAACCUGUUAAAGUGUCGUCUACCAGCUACAACUCGAUGCCUUUCUCAUACAAGUGCACAUGUUCGAGCUCUGAGCACUUCAGUCCUUCGCAACAUUUUGCACAUCGGUUCAAUCAAUUCUAAAUCUAAGGUGGAAAUAAGCGGUAUGCAUGAUCCAUCUUAUCAUUACUUCAAUAUAGGUGCCAUUGACUGGCAAACUGAUAUCGAAAAGUGCUUAACAUGGGAAGCUUAUAGUCAGCUCGCAAGAGGAAUGCAUAUACAAUUUCUCGACACCGCUGCCAAAGAAUUAGGUUGUAAUAUUUCUAUAUAACAUCGAUUAACUUUCGGAAUACCAGUAUAAAAUACCCUUCUCUUUUAAAACUGAGAAUACAAGGAAGAGUUGGACUUUCUUCAAAUUGCUUGAGCCACAUGGUUGGGGAAGAAAAUGCAUCUCCUAGUGGGGUGUUAUGAUAAAGACGACACACUGAGGUUUCAUUUCAUGUAUCUAAAGCUUAGCUAUGUAUGAUAUUAGACCCAGGUUUCAAUUUGUAUGUCGGAUUACGAAAUAUAAUUUCGGUUUAACUUAGAAAGUUAUUCCAUUAGAAUGAUGAACUGAUUGUAUGAUUCAGUUUCUUUGAGCAUAUCAGUACAUAAAAUGUUUAGUGCUUCUU